AUUGAACGCUGGCGGCAUGCUUUACACAUGCAAGUCGAACGGUAACAGGCCGCAAGGUGCUGACGAGUGGCGAACGGGUGAGUAAUGCAUCGGAACGUGCCCAGUCGUGGGGGAUAACUACUCGAAAGAGUAGCUAAUACCGCAUACGAUCUAUGGAUGAAAGCGGGGGACCGUAAGGCCUCGCGCGAUUGGAGCGGCCGAUGUCAGAUUAGGUAGUUGGUGGGGUAAAGGCUCACCAAGCCAACGAUCUGUGGCUGGUCUGAGAGGACGACCAGCCACACUGGGACUGAGACACGGCCCAGACUCCUACGGGAGGCAGCAGUGGGGAAUUUUGGACAAUGGGCGCAAGCCUGAUCCAGCAAUGCCGCGUGCAGGAAGAAGGCCUUCGGGUUGUAAACUGCUUUUGUACGGAACGAAACGGCUCUGGUUAAUACCCGGGGCUAAUGACGGUACCGUAAGAAUAAGCACCGGCUAACUACGUG
rnacentral:rRNA from 1 species